GUGGGGAAUAUUGGGCAAUGGGCGAAAGUCUGACCCAGCAACGCCGCGUGAAGGAAGAAGGUUUUCGGAUCGUAAACUUCUAUCCUUGGUGAAGAUAAUGACGGUAGCCAAGAAGGAAGCCCCGGCUAACUACGUGCCAGCAGCCGCGGUAAUACGUAGGGGGCAAGCGUUGUCCGGAAUGAUUGGGCGUAAAGGGCGCGUAGGCGGCCCGGUAAGUCUGAAGUGAAAGUCCUGCUUUUAAGGUGGGAAUUGCUUUGGAUACUGUCGGGCUUGAGUGCAGGAGAGGUAAGCGGAAUUCCCGGUGUAGCGGUGAAAUGCGUAGAGAUCGGGAGGAACACCAGUGGCGAAGGCGGCUUACUGGACUGUAACUGACGCUGAGGCGCGAAAGUGUGGGGAGCAAACAGGAUUAGAUACCCCGGUAGUCC
rnacentral:rRNA from 1 species